AUACGGGGGGAGCAAGCGUUGUUCGGAUUUACUGGGCGUAAAGGGCGCGUAGGCGGCGCAACAAGUCACUUGUGAAAUCUCCGGGCUUAACUCGGAGCGGCCAAGUGAUACUGUCGUGCUAGAGUGCGGAAGGGGCAACUGGAAUUCUCGGUGUAGCGGUGAAAUGCGUAGAUAUCGAGAGGAACACCUGCGGCGAAGGCGGGUUGCUGGGCCGACACUGACGCUGAGGCGCGAAAGCCAGGGGAGCGAACG
rnacentral:rRNA from 1 species